rnacentral:tRNA from 4 species
GGAGACGUGCCCGAGAGGCCGAAGGGACUCGUUUGCUAAAUGAGCGUACCCCAAAAGGGUACCGUGGGUUCGAAUCCCACCGUCUCCGCCA